AUUGAACGCUGGCGGCAGGCCUAACACAUGCAAGUCGAACGAGUGGCGGACGGGUGAGUAAUGUCUGGGAAACUGCCUGGUGGAGGGGGAUAACUACUGGAAAUGGUAGCUAAUAACGCAUACCAUCGGAUGUGCCAAGAUGGGAUUAGCGAGUAGGUGGGGUAAAGGCCCACCAAGGCGACGAUCCGUAACUGGUCUGAGAGGAUGAUCGGUCACACUGGAACUGAGACACGGUCCAGACUCCUACGGGAGGCAGCAGUAGGGAAUCUUGGACAAUGGACGAAAGCCUGAUCGAGCCAUGCCGCGUGUGUGAAGAAGGCUUUCGGGUUGUAAAGUACUUUCAGCGGGGAGGCGUUACCCGAAGAAGAAGCACCGGCUAACUACGUGCCAGCAGCCGCGGUAAUUC
rnacentral:rRNA from 1 species